AUCUAAUUGGCGUAGCAGGGUAUCCAUUACUAGGUUCCAGAUGUUUGGCCCGCAGAUCGACCCUUGCGGGCAGCUUCUGCUAACCCCCCUUUUCAUAGACUGCGUAUUGCCUUCCAAGGUAACUUUUCUUUGUCUGAAGUAAGAGUUCCAGAGCAUUACAUCUCUUGAUCCUAUCUCAACGAGUCUUCUUAAUAUGGAGUUCCAACUGAUGUUGUCGAAGGCGCCUGAAAAGUCUAUGAAAAGGCCCGAAACAUAUUAAUGAGGACAUCCGCGAACACGGUCUACAACUGUCAUCCAAGCAUCUACGGUUGAUUUGCCUUCUCUAAAUCCACACUGAGUUGGGAAUAUGACCGCAUCGUUAUCGAGACAGUCUUCCUGUAACCGGUCUGUCAUUACUUUCUCCAAAACCUUGCUCCAAGCAGAGUAGACAAAUUGGCCUAUACGAUUUCGCCAGGUCCUUUGGCUUAUCCGAAGCUUUCAGAAGAGUUAUUACCUUUACCUACUUCCAAUUAUCCGGGAAUGUACCGUCUUUUAUACAGCGCUGCAGCACUGCCCUUAAGAACUCUGGAACUGCCCUAUGGAAUUCCUUCACGAUGGAACCAGUAAUCCCUUCCAACCCGAUGCUUUUUGACUUCUUAGUUUCUUUACGGCCUCUGCCACCUUCUCAGGCGACAGACAGCUCCUCUAUCGGCAAAUUUCCAUUCAAAUUUUCAGGAUAAUCCACAUCUAAUGGUCUAUGUUCUCCGAAGAAGGCGUUGAGCAAUGUCUCAGCUGACUCCCUCCAGGUUCCAGAGAUUGUAUCCCCUGACUUUAUAGCUGCUAUUUCCCUUGCACGCCGUCGACCUCUGCAAGUUUUGUAGACGUCUCCCCAAGGAUCUUUGCCGUGCCUUAUUGUCAUAUGUACAAAGUCUCUCCAAUGAUCGAACUUGGCUUUUCUUAAUUCGUCUGUAUACCUCCGGCUAGCCACCCUCCAACUCCUCUUAAUUUGUUCAAAUUCUUCUUCGUCAGCUCUUAGCAUACCACUUCCAUUAGCCCUAUUUCUUCGUUUUGUUUGGUACGCACGUCGGAGACGACGAACUUCCCUACGCUGCAGUCAACUGAGGUGUCCACCAGCGUACACGCAAAUCUCUUAGGCACAGUCACUUGGCAUGGUUCCUGUACCCAAGUAUCUACUGUACGACACAUUUCUACAAGAGGCAUCCGUAGAAAAUCAUCUAACCCAAGGGAAACAGCGCUGCUUAAGAUACUAUACCGAAACGCAAUCUUCUCUUCCUCACUCCUCAGACACCCUAUGAGUAUAGGAUUAUGAUCGCUAACACCGAGGUCGGGUCUUACGCUCCACUCCCAAAGAAAAGAUUGUUCCAAGGACAGAUUCGCCAAAGUAACAUCAAUGUCACUCGAACCAGACGUCAAUAUAUCGCCUCUUAAGUCUCUCUCUCUCAGGUUCUUGCUAUGCCACACCAGAGAUGUAGCAUUAGCAUCGAGACCGAUGAGCAGCGGCAUCCUAUCAGCACCCAACACAGCUCUUCGUAGAUGCAUGAUGUCAGUCGCCAUGUCGCCUCCGUACUGGCAGUAAAGGCUAGCUAAAAGUGACCGAAUUAGCAGAUAGCAAAAAUAGACCAUCAAGUGCUCAAAAUAGAAAAAGGAAACUGCAGAAAGAAGAAAAAAUAAAAAAGCUGAGUAGACCGAUUAGAACUUUUUUCGACCCGGUACUUCUUUAUCAACAUCAGUUGGGCAUUUAGAGGAAAUAACGGCUUUAGAUACCUCGCUUAUUUUAGAAGGCAGUGAAGUCACUACCCAUAGCAAUCCCUCGGCGACUCCACCAGAAUCAACCUCGACGUUUGAUAUUUCAUCAAAAUCAACAGUAGAUAAUAUGUAUUUUAAAUCAAAUAAGUUAUAAAUACUGCUGUGGCAUUUGUAAAUAUUUACUUCCUACUUUAUUAGA